UGUUGAGUGUGGCCUAGUGGUUUGAGUGUUGGACUGUGACUCUGGAGUCCAGGGUUCAAUUCCCUGCUUGGCCA
rnacentral:tRNA from 1 species